rnacentral:lncRNA from 1 species
UGAUAUCAAUGGCUACUGAAUCUUCAAUGGUCGCAGCACGUAUAUGAUUCAGGAAGUCAACAUCAAUUGGCACAAUAGUAGCGCAAAGCCGAAAUUACUCUAGCUUCAAUAAUGUCGCACAUUGUUGAUCAAACGCUGCUUCUCGAGCCUUUAGUAUAAGAUAUGAUCUCCUCGAUAAGGCAUCAGAAAGUCCUUGCUGCAUUCCAAGUUGAUAAG